AAAAAACACAUUAUAUGGUAUUUAAAUGACACACUUAAACUAACAAAUUAAAUGCAGCAAAAAUAAAAAAAAAUAAAAAUAAAAAUCAACACGUAAACUAAUAAAAGAACACAUGGUAAUCACCUCUUCAAACUAGGAAACAAGCAAGUGCUACAUGUCCCUUCCUAUUUCGUGAAUCAGCGUGCCUUUGUUUUAAAAGAAAGUUAAUGCAUGAAAUGGAUAAAAGAUGCAAUAGAAUGCGCCCCUGGACGAGAACUAAAUGAAGUCAACGCUUCAACAUUCCAAGACAAGAUUAAAUAAAUGCAAGUGCUAUAUUGAAAAAUGUGUUUCCAUUUCAAAUCAACGCAUCAUUUCUAAAAGAAAGAAAGGUAAUCAUAAUUGCCUCCUUAACGUAAUGUGCACAAUGUAAAAUGAAAUCACCAAAAGAUCUUCAAUAGCAAAAAGAUUGAAAGUGCGGUAAGAGAAUUAAAUCCAGAUCAUCACAUCGCUUGCGCCUUCUUCUAGCAACAUGAAAAAUUGUUCUUCUUCUCGGUCUCUGCAGCCCAUUUGCUCUCCAUCUACAAGAACGUCUAACAGCCAAGAACCAAAGCAGAGAAAAAAAAUGUUCAGAGUGUGACGGCAGUGCUCUCCUC
rnacentral:lncRNA from 1 species